rnacentral:rRNA from 1 species
UACGGGGGGGGCAAGCGUUGUUCGGAAUUACUGGGCGUAAAGGGUUUGUAGGUGGCCCGCUAAGUCACACGUGAAAUCCCUCAGCUUAACUGGGGAACUGCGUGUGAGACUGGCAGGCUCGAGGGCAGGAGAGGAACGCGGAAUUCCAGGUGUAGCGGUGAAAUGCGUAGAUAUUGGGAAGAACACCGGUGGCGAAGGCGGCGACCUGGUCCUUGACUGACGCUGAGGCGCGAGAGCGUGGGGAGCAAACAGG